CUUGUGAGGAGAACUCAGAAAUGCAACACGCCAAACUUAGAAGUGAAACCGUCAAAUGAGGACAUAAUGCGUUGGAAGGAGGAAGAGCGUCGUACAGUGGGAAAACCUACAGAAAAAUCACGUAGGGAAACUGCAUAGAAGAGAAAUUAUGCAGAGAAGCUACAGGCAUUUUACAGUUUAC